AGUGUGUUCUGCUGGGUUGUUCUCUGUAGGCCCAGUGCCGCGCGCCGUUUCGUGUAUAGACCACGUGGUCUCUAUCCAUUUGUCCGUUGGGUGCUCUCAAAAGUGUUUCAACUUUCCGCUUUGACAACCUCAAGGGAUGGAAACACUGGAAGAAUAACACCCGGCUAAACCCAAAUGCAGCCACUGCAGAAGGAUCUGGAGUCCAAGUGGUGCCUACGAUGGAGGUCAGACUCUCAGGAAUAGAGGAGGGCAAAGAUGGAGCCGGGUGGGGAGACAAACACAUGGAUAAGAGGGACGUGACCCCAGAGAAACUCCUCCACCUCCGGCAUCCUGUCUCAAAAGCCUUUGCCCCAGCCAGAGCUACAUGGCUUCUCACCAACAAAGGACUCAGGCCAAUCGGCACAUGAACUUCUUUGACUUUGUUUUGCUUCUAUGCAGAAUUUAUUUUCCGGGUUGGGAUGUGAAGCCUUUGUUUAACGGUCCUACAAUGUGCUGAGGUCUACUCUGAGGGGGUGGUGAUUCAUGAAGACAAGGAAUUGGAUUUCACGCCCUUUGAAGUCUCAAGUUGCCCAACUGUAGACAUUGAGCAACACUGCAGUUGGGCAUUAAAAUCUCAACUAUUCCCAGGUUUGUCUUUAAUGAUUAAAAAUGCCCACAUACGAUGUGUCAACGGCUUAUAAUUUCAUAAUUGGGGUGAGGCUCCCGGGGCUCUAGUUGCCAAUAAUGUGUUAAUGUCAGGUUCACGGUGUCCAAUUAGGGUGGAACGUCAAACAGUGUGUGGCAGCGAAUGAAUACAAGAUCACUCAUGUUUUGGUGGAAUUUUCUUUGAAACUGUGAUGUGUUCUAAGAAACUGGGGGAAUGGCUUUCCAGAUAACAGUAACAUCACUGUGUGGCCAUGUUCAGAGGACCAAAGAGGUCGUGGUGGCCUUGCGGGCUUCAGAAUUUUCCCAAGAUAAGAUGAAUUACAGCGUAGGGAUGGAGGGUCAACCACGCAUGCAAGAUUCCUUCCUUUCUCUUCCCUGACAGGGUUGCACCCUUGCUAAUGUGGCUAAUGUGCCGCUUCCACUCAGAAGCUAGGAUCUGGUUUCAUUGUGCUUGGCUUCCUUCCCGGGGUUGAGUCAUGAAGAGUGGUAUAGAAUCUUCCAAGGCCAAAGGUGGUCUUUGUCCAGCUUCUGCACGGCUCCUCUCAGCAUUCUCAGUUAUUGUAUAAUUGCACUUCCUGGUCGUCUGUACUUUGUACUGUGUGUCCGAGCCAGCAUUCAAGCUAUUCUCUCUCUUGGCUUCUUUUUAUCCAUCCAACCAUUCCAUGGACUGUUUAUUAUGAUCCCACUAUGGCCAACAUACUAUUCAAGAUGCUGGGAACACAGCAGUGAAUGAGAUAAAGUCCCUCUUUUCUUAUAUUCUUGCUGAAGAAAUAA